ACGGAGGGUGCGAGCGUUAAUCGGAAUCACUGGGCGUAAAGCGCACGUAGGCGGUGUCGUAAGUCGGAUGUGAAAGCCCUCGGCUCAACCGGGGAACUACAUUCGAUACUGCGAUGCUUGAGUGCCGGAGAGGGUAGGGGAAUUCCAGGGGUAGGGGUGAACUCCUAUAAUGUGGGGGGGAAGUCCCGUGGCAAGGGUGGCCAUCGUGGCAGGUCCGGACCGUGAGUAGCGAAAGCUAUGGGUGCGUACCU
rnacentral:rRNA from 1 species